rnacentral:misc_RNA from 1 species
AUGAAAAUAUCAAGGAGCUGUUGCUGACUUCGGUCGUGCACGCUUCUGUUUUCAUCCACUCACACCUGUGCACUUUAUUAAUGGAGGGGUAACACUUUCCAUUACUAUCACACACUUCGUAUUAUAAGAACGUCUCGAUAAUAAAAAGUAA